AGGUUUGGUAUGAAUGAUUGUUUUGUCUGUAGCAGCAUUCUGGAUUGUGAAUGACCAUGACAUAAAAUUCUUGUUUUUUCAUCUAGUUCUUUAUCGAUUCUUUGAUAUGGUGAAUUAGUACUAUAUAUGCAAGUUACCACAAUUGCGCGAUUGACAUAGAUGAAAUAGUGGGUGAUCCAGUUUCGGUAGAUCCAAUUGCAUGUACUCUUGUUUAUGUUCUUGAUUAGAUCAAUUGGUCAACAUAAGCGAAAGAGAUUUUAAUUCAUGUGUAUUUUCAUGUACGGCAACCAAAUUCCUGCUUGGUCCAGAGCGAUGCAUCACAUAAUUUGCUUGUUUUAGUUAUCACACAUGACCUGUUGUUCAUGUAACUGCAAAUUCGAGUUAUAUUUAUUCCAAUUAAAGCUGGUGAUUGCUUCUUAAUACAUGUUAAAGGCAUCUCGGCAUAUUUUUUUGUACACAAGUUAAACUAAUCGCAGAAAAUAAAUGCUUCUUUGCCAUUAAGUAUGUGAGUGUUCCUAAUUGGAUAGUUUUCUGUAUCAAGAAAAUUUUGUUGGCUUGCCUUUUACUGGCCGUUGACAAUGAUUUAUGUGGUUAGCUGUUACUUAUAAAUAAAGUCACAUGAGACAAUCUUCCCGUUAUGUAUAGUCUGAAGAUUGAUGUCGCAUACUCUGUCCUGCCUCUCAGUUAUAAUCUGAAGAGCUGAAUGAUCUUCUGCCUUUGUACUAGCCAUUUUGAAUUGUUUAAAAGUUGCAUGGCAUCCUAGGUAGUCAUAUUUUCAAUUAAGGUAUGCUUGGCAGAUAGAUUAAUUAAUCUCCAAUUCGGAUAUGAAAUUACUUUAGUUUUUUAUGGAAUUAAAAGAUACUAUUUGUAGUGAUGAUUUUGAAUCAAUCUCGUAGUUUCUUAUACCCGUUGGAAGCAUGAAGUCCUAUUUAUUUUACAUCCUUUUGUAGUUCAUAUACCUCUCUGAGUCUCCGUAGACCAACUGUAGCAAGUUUUUAGAAUAGUUCAACUGCAGUUUGUCAGUAUCUAGUUUCAAAAGGUAUAAAAAAUGCUACUAGCCGGUGGAGUUAUAUGGUCCUUGCGCCUGUGGUUUGCUAGCCAGUAAUACUUCUUAUCAUUUGAUACAUUAGUGGCUCUAAAGAUAAUACAUGCAUCGACAAUUUAUCACUGAAAGGAAAUCUUAUUUAUCAAGUUCCCAGUUCUGCUGGGUAUGCAGAUUUGACAUCUGUUUUGGUACAUUCUUACAACAAACCUAUGUUGUUAAUUGGUCUUUGAUUGUUCAAACAUAUAUAUGGAUAGAUAACUAGCCUCAUGCUUUCCAGACUGAUUGUUCAAUAAUAUGGACAUGUGACCUGAAUUAUGGACUAGAUAUGUCCAGCUAACGAUAUUAUGCAGUCCUCCUGUACUUAAGUUAAUCUAUUUUAUCUGUUAUCGCAUCUAUAUCUUUUUUACAAGGCUUGGUAUGCUGAUUUACUUCUUUCUCGGAGCUUGUUCGCACUGCUAGAAGUUCCAUGGUACUUUGAAUCUUGCAACGUUGAUUUUGGUCAUUACUCCAAUGAUAAAAAACAAUUGUUUCCUAGUGUCGGUUCACGUUGCUACAAACCUAGCAUUUGCACGUGUUUGCUACGGAAAUCCAAGUUCUGCCAUCAGUUUUCAGCCUUUGGCAAAUCCUAACAGCCGGCUAUCCGUACCACUUUUCAGAAUAACUUUAAAUCCUAAUCUGAAUAUCUUUUUACUUUGAUGACUCUCAGGGUUUGCCAAAGGCUGGUAUUUGGUUGCAUUUUCAGGUCUUUCUGCUGCUGGUGACGCUGCAGCUCCGUCUGAUGGAGAUUUAACUCCAUUUGGCGUAUUUUGUAACAAACCUGCAAGAAGAAAUGUCAUGAUCGUGAUGAGGCAUUCGAGUUCAAGACCGAUGAUUAGCAAGUGCUUUGAAGGCUUGACAUUAUAGUGCGGGAAGUCACUGACAAGGUGUUGCUAACUCAUGAGGUGUCCUCCAAAAUGCCAUGCAGCAGAAUGAAAACUGCAAAAAAUAAUUAUACCGAGUCAUGUAAUUCACUAUAAGUUUGAAGAUUAAUUCUUUUAUUUUUAUUAGCCACGCUGGUUUGUAUUUUAUGAGCACCUGAGACUAUGUGGUAAUUCUUUCUGACACAUGCAUCUACUUUACAUUCCUUGAA